rnacentral:rRNA from 1 species
GGGCCCGCACAAGCGGUGGAGUAUGUGGUUUAAUUCGAUGCAACGCGAAGAACCUUACCACCCCUUGACAUACUCGGAACUUUCUAGAGAUAGAUUGGUGCCUUCGGGAACCGAGAUACAGGUGCUGCAUGGCUGUCGUCAGCUCGUGUCGUGAGAUGUUGGGUUAAGUCCCGUAACGAGCGCAACCCUUGUCCUUAUUUGCCAGCGAGUAAAGUCGGGAACUCUAAGGAGACUCCCGGUGUUAAACCGGCGGAAGAUGGGGAUGACGUCAAGUCCUCAUGGCCCUUACGACUGGGGCUACACACGUACUACAAUGGCAACUACAAAGAGCCGCAAGACCGCAAGGUGGAGCUAAUCUCAAAAAAGUUGCCUCAGUUCGGAUUGGAGUCUGCAACUCGACUCCAUGAAGUUGGAAUCGCUAGUAAUCGC